rfam:Micromonospora cremea strain DSM 45599 genome assembly, contig: Ga0074693_12
ACCGGUCUCCGGUAGUGGCCCCCGGGAAUCCCGGCAUCAUGCCGGCCACCCGGGCGCUUCGAUCGAAGACCGGC